GCAUAUCAAUAAGCGGAGGAAAAGAAACUAACUAGGAUUCCCUUAGUAACGGCGAGUGAACCGGGAAAAGCUCAAAUUUGUAAUCUGGCUGUCUUCGAUAGUCCGAGUUGUAAUCUAUAGACGUGUUUUCCGUGCUGGACCGUAUCUAAGUCCCUUGGAACAGGGUAUCAAAGAGGGUGACAAUCCCGUGCUUGAUACGACCACCAGUGCUCUGUGAUACACGCUCUACGAGUCGAGUUGUUUGGGAAUGCAGCUCAAAAUGGGUGGUAAAUUCCAUCUAAAGCUAAAUAUUGGCGAGAGACCGAUAGCGAACAAGUACCGUGAGGGAAAGAUGAAAAGCACUUUGGAAAGAGAGUUAAACAGUACGUGAAAUUGUUGAAAGGGAAACGAUUGAAGUCAGUCGUGUUCUUUGGAUUCAGCUAGUUCUUCUAGUCUACUUCCAUUGAACGGGUCAACAUCAGUUUUGUCCGGUGGAUAAAGAUAGUAGGAAUGUAGCUCCCCCGGGAGUGUUAUAGACUAUUAUUGCAUACACUGGGUGAGACUGAGGACUGCAGCUCGCCUUUUGGCCGGUCUUCGGACACGUUCGAGCUUAGGAUGUUGACAUAAUGGCUUUAAACGACCCGUCUUGAAACACGGACC
rnacentral:rRNA from 2 species